rnacentral:rRNA from 1 species
CCUACGGGGGGCAGCAGUGGGGAAUAUUGGACAAUGGGCGAAAGCCUGAUCCAGCCAUGCCGCGUGUGUGAAGAAGGCCUUCGGGUUGUGAAGCACUUUCAGUGGGGAAGAAAGCCUUGGGGCUAAUACCCUCGAGGAAGGACAUCACCCACAGAAGAAGCACCGGCUAACUCCGUGCCAGCAGCCGCGGUAAUACGGAGGGUGCGAGCGUUAAUCGGAAUUACUGGGCGUAAAGCGCGCGUAGGCGGUCUGAUAAGCCGGUUGUGAAAGCCCCGGGCUCAACCUGGGAACGGCAUCCGGAACUGUCAGGCUAGAGUGCAGGAGAGGAAGGUAGAAUUCCCGGUGUAGCGGUGAAAUGCGUAGAGAUCGGGAGGAAUACCAGUGGCGAAGGCGGCCUUCUGGACUGACACUGACGCUGAGGUGCGAAAGCGUGGGUAGCAAACAGGAUUAGAUACCCGUGUAGUC